rnacentral:rRNA from 1 species
AGCGAACGCUGGCGGCAGGCUUAACACAUGCAAGUCGAGCGGGCAUCCUUGUGGUGUCAGCGGCAGACAGGUGAGUAACGCGUGGGAACGUGCCCUUCGGUUCGGAAUAACUCAGGGAAACUUGAGCUAAUACCGGAUACGUGCGAGAGCAGAAAGGUUUAUCUGCCGAAGGAUCGGCCCGCGUCUGAUUAGCUAGUUGGUGAGGUUAUGGCUCACCAAGGCGACGAUCAGUAGCUGGUCUGAGAGGAUGAUCAGCCACACUGGGACUGAGACACGGCCCAGACUCCUACGGGAGGCAGCAGUGGGGAAUAUUGGACAAUGGGGGCAACCCUGAUCCAGCCAUGCCGCGUGAGUGAUGACGGCCUUAGGGUUGUAAAGCUCUUUUCUCCGGGACGAUAAUGACGGUACCGGAGGAAUAAGCCCCGGCUAACUUCGUG